rnacentral:rRNA from 1 species
CCCGAAUUCUUUAUGAGCUGAAUAUUAAUUGUUAAGAACCCAUAGAUAAAUGUUUCAGUAUUUUCUAAAAAUUAGUAUUCAGAGGCUACAUACCUAUCGCAUAAGAAAAUAGCUGGUUUCUAUUAAACACUAUAAAUUAGAAUAUCUAAAAUUAGAUUAUAAAUUAAUAAAAGAUAAGUUUUAUUAAUUACUCAAUUAAAAUAAAAUAGAAAUUAACUUUAGUGGGCUUAAUAACAGCCAUCUUUCAGUACUUUACCGUAAUAUUUUAUUUAAUAUAAAUAACUAAAAAAUGAUAAAUAUAGAUAGAUAAUAUAAUAAAUUAAAUUUAUUUUUAAAUUUGUAAAUAUAAGUAUUACAUUAAAUAUAUUAAAGGAACUCGGCAAAUUUUAUUUCGACUGUUUAACAAAAACAUUUCUUUUAGUAAAUAUUAAAAGUAUACCCUGCCCAAUGAAUUUUGAAUGGCCGCGGUAUCCUAACCGUGCAAAGGUAGCAUAAUAAUUUGUCUAUUAAUUGUAGACUAGAAUGAAGGGGUUAACGAAAUAAAGACUGUCUCUAAUAUAUAAAUAAAAAUUAUCUUUUAAGUGAAGAGACUUAAAUAAAAUUAAAAGACAAGAAGACCCUAUUGAGCUUUACUUAAAUUAUAAUUAAAUUAUAAUAUAGUUUGGUUGGGGCGACCUAGGAAUAUUAAACAUCCUAAGAAUUUAACGAUUUAUAUAUCUUUAUUUGAUCCAUUUAAUGAUCAUUAAAUUAAGUUACCAUAGGGAUAACAGGCUAAUAUUUUUUUAGAGUUCUUAUUAACAAAAAUGUUUGGCACCUCGAUGUUGGCUUAGGAAAACGUUAUGGUGCAGAAGCCAUAAAUGAAGGUUUGUUCAACCUAUAAAAUCCUACAUGAGCUGAGUUCAGACCGGCGUAAGCCAGGUUAGAUUCUAUCUUUAAUUAAAAAAUUUAUUUUCAGUACGAAAGGACCUAAAUAA